rnacentral:rRNA from 1 species
GAUAACGGCGUAAGCGUGGUUAAGGAAAACUCACAACUAAAGCGGAACUUCCUCCUAGCUGUUAUACGCUUCCGAGGGAAUGAACCCCAACUACGAAAGUGGCUUUACCCCACCUGAACCCACGAAAGCUAAGAAA